CAGAUAAUAGUUUAUAAAAUACUGGCAUUGGAAGCUAGAGAUCAAAUUCUUUUUGUUAUCUGA
rnacentral:tRNA from 1 species